rnacentral:rRNA from 1 species
UACGUAGGGGGCAAGCGUUGUCCGGAUUUAUUGGGCGUAAAGAGCGCGCAGGCGGUCGGAUAAGUCGAAUGUGAAAGCCCCCGGCUCAACUGGGGAGGGUCAUUCGAUACUGUUCGACUCGAAGGCAGGAGAGGGAAGUGGAAUUCCCGGUGUAGUGGUGAAAUGCGUAGAUAUCGGGAGGAACACCAGUGGCGAAGGCGACUUCCUGGCCUGUUCUUGACGCUGAGGCGCGAAAGCUAGGGGAGCAAACGGG